UAUUUUUUUUAUAAUUAAUUAAUUAAUUAACUAAUAUUUAUAUUUAUUAAUUAUUAUAAUAUUCAUAGCUAAUAAAUUUAUUAAUUUAUUAAAUUUUUUUUAAUUAAUAUUUUGAUGUUAAUUAAUUUGAUAAAAUAUUUUUAAUCUAAAAUUAUAACUCUCAUUCUUCUUAUUUCAAUAUAACUAUCCAAACACCAUUUACCUUAUUUUCAAAAAUAACCUAAUUUUUAUUCAAAUAUAAAAUUGAUCUAGUUUAGAUUUAUAUCUCAAUUUGUAUUUCUGAAAUAAAUAAUUUUUAUUUAUAACCGAAGCAAAUGCAACGUAAA
rnacentral:lncRNA from 1 species